AACCAUAAUCCGCAAAACAUAUAUAUGAAUAGUAAAUCUCAUAUCCAAAAGUACUAUACCAUAAAUGGCAUAUUAUACACUGCAAGUUGUAUAAAUCUCACAGGUCGAAUGCCAUUUCAAGAAAAAAGUUUUGACUUCAUCUACAUGUUUAUAUACAUAUGCAUCAAAGAGCUGGAAUCUCGGGGUUUGAGGUAGAACCUUCAGCAACACCCUUGCAAACAUCAUCUCUGCAGAGAGGGCAUACCCCAUGU
rnacentral:misc_RNA from 1 species